rnacentral:rRNA from 1 species
GAUGAACGCUGGCGGCGUGCCUAAUACAUGCAAGUCGAGCGAACAGAUAAGGAGCUUGCUCCUUUGACGUUAGCGGCGGACGGGUGAGUAACACGUGGGUAACCUACCUAUAAGACUGGAAUAACUCCGGGAAACCGGGGCUAAUGCCGGAUAACAUUUAGAACCGCAUGGUUCUAAAGUGAAAGAUGGUUUUGCUAUCACUUAUAGAUGGACCCGCGCCGUAUUAGCUAGUUGGUAAGGUAACGGCUUACCAAGGCAACGAUACGUAGCCGACCUGAGAGGGUGAUCGGCCACACUGGAACUGAGACGCGGUCCAGACUCCUACGGGAGGCAGCAGUAGGGAAUCGUCCGCAAUGGGCGAAAGCCUGACGGAGCAACGCCGCGUGAGUGAUGAAGGUCUUCGGAUCGUAAAACUCUGUUAUUAGGGAAGAACAAAUGUGUAAGUAACUGUGCACGUCUUGACGGUACCUAAUCAGAAAGCCACGGCUAACUACGUG